UACACCAACCAAAUUCCGCCACGUGGAAGAUAGCACUCAUGGGGUCCACAACUGUCGGCUCCCGUUGGAUUAUUUAAGAAAGGAAGAAAAUCAGCGGUCAUCGUUGCUACACGUAUCUGAAGUUAGAUGUCGGCGGGUGGACAGUUGGUCGGUUGAUUUCUUUUCAAUUAUCGAUGCCCUGGCCACGGGGGAUGCUGUUUUUGUUACACGUGAGAUGGGUAUAAAAGCACGUGACUUUCCCCUCUAAUUGGGCCAUAUAAUUACAAAAAUUAAGGCCCAACAUUAUUAGUGGUUGGGCUUAUUUUUGGGCCAAGCCUAAUAAUUUUUGAGGCGGCAAAUGUUAUUUUAUAUUAUUCUGGGGGUGAUUUGUAAUUAGGUUGGAGUUAGACGAAAUGAAAUAGUUUCCCCGCAACUUUCCGAUCAUCGGUUCAAAUUUUGCCGUCGGUUGUAGGCUUCGCCUCUCUGCCCGCGGUGAUCGUCGAAGAAUUGGAAAACGCGAGAAAUUUAUUGCGAAUGCUGAUAAUUAAUUCUGUGUAGAGAGGAUUGACGGAAGCGCAGAGGAAGAGGAGAGGAAAACCGAGCGCAGGGGCGCGUGGAGCGAAGAAGAUGAUUACGCGAUCUAAGUUGGCGGAGCAGCUGAGGGAGUAUCAGAUUCGAUCCAAACGUGACUGGGCUUCUAUUUCCUUUUUCUCUUCCACCUCCAAUCUCGCUUUUUCGAGUCUGAUUUAGCAUGAAUUUGCACGGUUUUAUAUCAAAUAUGUGCAGCCGUUCCUGGGGCUUCCACUGCUUACCUUAUUGUGGCUUGAAGAAGUGGAUUGGAAUUCCUCGUGUGGCUAUAGUCCAUAUUGCUCCAAAAACUAGCAAAGCACUCAAGAUCAUUCCAAAGGAUCCUAGCCACCAAUUCAGCCACCACAUUGAGCUGUAUUUUAGGGGUUUCUUUAUCCUAAUCCAUAUCAAGCAGGGAUAUGCCAGGGUGACUGGUAGUGCAAUCCCUCCUAACAGCCCAGCCAGGUUUUUCAAGAAUGGGAAUGCCACAGCUAUGAAGAAGGUGAGGCAGCAGAAGAAUAAUCGCAGACUUGUUCUAAGCCACCAUGGACACGGCCUGUUCUUUUUGCUGGUGUAUUUGAACUCCAAAUUGUCUAUGGCUGGUACGGCAUAUAUCUGGUAUGAAGUAAGGCAGCUGAUCACCACACAGAGGCUUGUUAACCGCAAGACUACCUUGGAUAUGUCAUUCCUGUGGUAUCUGUCCAGUGCACUCAACAUUCCUCCGUCUGCUGGUAUCUGUGAAAGUACAUGUCAUUACUGUUGAUUUCAGACAGUUUAAAAUACUAAAAUGUUUGCGAGAUGCUGACCAAAUCUCCGUAUGCCCAGUAUCCCCCAAUUGCCAUUGGAAACAAACAGCAUGCAAUGAUCAGGUACGAAUAUUUUACCCCUUCCCACAUUGUCACUUUCGAUGAAUUAUUCACAGUAGAAGGGAUUGUACCCUGCCAGUUGUAACUAACACAAUUGUAAACAUCCAACCAGGUAUGUUUUCAUUUAAUCAGUCAUGCAGAAAUAAUCAAUAUUUAGUGCUAACCUGUAUUUCCAGGACAAGAUUGUGGCCCCUGAAAGCGAGUGCUAUGAUUCCAAGAGCAUUCAGGAUGCUGCAAAUAUUUCCAACAUUGGAUAUGGUCUUGACAGGAUUGAAUGAAACCUCAUACGGUCUAGAUUUGGAUACAGGCAAUGCCCACACCAGUGUACAGUAGUCACAGAAGUUACUGCACCGAAGAGGGAUGCACCGGCAGCAGAGUUCAGGUUUGGCAGCUGAACCAAGAUCAUGGCUAAACCUACAAAAAUUAUGUAACAUUCCAUGGUUGAUACUGAAGUAGCUUUGCCAUCUGCACCGCAUACUAUAAAGAGUCGGAAACAGGGCCAAUAUCUUCCCCAGCCUCUCCCCUGGAAUUACAAAAUGAUGAUUACAGGAAGGAUUUGCAAGAACCGGUAGCACUCACCAGCCAAGGGUCGUAAAAGCCAGAGGAAGAAGAAGAGCCUGGAAUCCGAUUCCAGAGUUGAGGGUGUGAAAAGCAGCAUAAUAAGCAUUCCCGUUUCUGGACUCUGUAAUGGGAAGCCACGAAUCCUGAGGAUCCGAUUGUGUCAGAUGCCCGACUUCUUCCAGGUUGGAAUCAGGAUGAACCGUCGACGAGGCCGAGAAAGAAGCUGAAUGAUGGAAUUUCACGGCGAGGGCAGGGCUUGAGGUUGUCCUCGUUUCCACAACUUCGAUCAUCAUUGCAAAGGUAACCUAAAAAUCACUCAACUGAUACAGUGACUAUAUGGUUAUUUUUUCAAUCUUUGUUGUCUUUCGAGAUCAGAUUGAUGAAGUAACACUGUGGGGAUUAUAUGCAUAUAUAGAACUGAAUUUCUGGGAUGGUUCUUCACAUCUUCUUUUCUUUAUUACUAACAACAAUAAUAAAUAUUAAUGUUAAAUAUUA